GAGGCAGCAGAGACCACCGACUCUCUGAAGCAGCAGCAGCAGCAGCCGGCUGUGGUUCCUGUCCAGAGAGAGAGUCCUGCACCCCCCACAGGACGAUUCCACGCCAGUCCUCCCCCCUGAGACCAGAGCCCGUCCUGCUGCCGCAGUCCGGCUGACGGAGGCCCAGCAGGAGGAUGGACAGCAGAGACGCCCCGGAGCCGGCGCAGUCCCGGCCGGCCCCCCCUCCGGAGAGCCUCCACCUCCAGGCGGACUCGUUCCUCACGGCGGCGCGGCUGCUGCGGGGAGGCUGUCUGGACGGGGGCAGGCCGCGGCGGUGGCAGUUCGCCCAGGACGACGGUCCGACGCAGACCCGCACCGAGGACUCUGAACGCCUCGACGGCAGAAAGACGCACGAGGACGGAGAGAAAAGCACGGGAGGUCAAGGCCCAGUGACCUCCGCCAGGGGUCAGACGGGCGGAGGACGCGUCUGGACGUC